UGUGCAGGCCACAUACGGUGGAUCAGAUGGAGCCCUGUAAUACCCAUCCUCACAUUCACAUCUGGAGGAGCCUUCUUUAUCGGAAAAACUUGGUGAAUACAGACUCUAAAGUCACCUUUGCUGCCAGAGCUGUAGCACUUCAUCAACGUGAAGAGAGAAAACUACUCAGCACAGGGUAGUGAAAAUGGGCUUAGAACCCCGCCAUCAGUUUCUGACUCCAGUCCAGUUUCCAGUGGUGUGUUUCUUCUGGAUCCAGA